CGAAAUUGACAGAUAACAAAUAAUUUACAAUCGAACCAAUUACUACCAAGUGGAAAAAUGGAAGGGAUCUUAUGCCCACGAUGUGAAACUCGAUCGAACCGAGGGCUCUAAUUUAUAGUAAGUUAAAUUUCUCUAUAUUUUUACAAAUGGUAGUAAAUUACUAAAUUGUUCAGUUCAAGAAGUGUGUAAUUAAAGUGGAAAAUGGGG